CUUCAAUUGGAAAAGUGGAGAAUGGGUAAGGCAUGCGAGGGUAAAUGAUAAAGGCACCAUGCACAGAAGCACGUUGCCAUGAGUAAUGUGCGUGCCACCACAGUGUCCCUCUUUGGUCAAUCACUGAGAAUUUGAGAAGCAAAGCUGAAUGGCACAAAACCAGCAAGGAGGAUGCUUAUGAAUAUGACAAGCAACAUCAUCCGACACUGCUGGCUGAGGCUCUUCAUUAUCAUAAAAAACUUUAACUCUUCAAAACAAGUUAGCUAACAAUUUAUAUAUAUGUUCUACAAGAAGCUACACUCUUUUUAUAGUUUUUUGCUCCCUUCGAACUCACAUUUUGUAGUCAUUGGCACAGUCUAUGAAUCCUUUUGAUAAUGUGGUGAGUGUUGCUUUGUUGUGGGGGUUGGUGUGUAAGUGGGGUUAAUUGCUGAGAUCAGUAAGUGGUUAAUGUCAAUUGGUUGUUUUUUAAACUAAUGAUAAGCAGAUUAGGUGUUUGGUUGCUGUAUAUACACACAUUAUACAACCACCGAUGAAAUAUUAUGGAUUGUUAUUGCACU